UACGGGGGGGGCAAGCGUUGUUCGGAAUUACUGGGCGUAAAGGGCUCGUAGGUGGCCAACUAAGUCAGACGUGAAAUCCCCAGGCUCAACUUGGGAACUGCGUCUGAUACUGGAUGGCUUGAAUUCGGGAGAGGGAUGCAGAAUUCCAGGUGUAGCGGUGAAAUGCGUAGAUAUCUGGAGGAAUACCGGUGGCGAAGGCGGCAUCCUGGACCGAGAUUGACACUGAGGAGCGAAAGCUAGGGGAGCAAACGGG
rnacentral:rRNA from 1 species